rnacentral:tRNA from 1 species
GCGCGGGUGUCGAAACUGGUAGACGAGCCAGCUUGAGGGGCUGGUGUCCGCAAGGACGUGGAGGUUCAAAUCCUCUCCCGCGCA